CUGUUGCACCAGAGAGUGCUUUCAGUACUGGUGGGAGAGUACUAGAUCCCUUUAGAAGUUCUUUAACUCCCAGAAUUGUGGAGGCUUUGAUAUGUGCACAAGAUUGGAUACGUUCCUCAAAUUGUCCAAUAAAUGUUGAGGAAGAUUUAGAGAAACUUGUAAAGCUUGAAAAAGGGUAUGCAAUAAAUACAUGUAUUUAGAUCAUUUUUAUCUUUUAAUAUUUUCAUUUCAAUAUGGAUUGAUUUUUUUUUCCAUUAUAUAAUUCAAUUUUCAGUACUACCAAGUGUUGGCCUAACCCAAUUAGGGGGAUCAAGUUGUUCAACUUCUACCCUUAACUCUUAGAUGUUACCAAAAGCUGCUGCCUCCUUAUUUGAGGAUGUUUUUGGAUUUGGUCGGACUGCUCAAAAUCAAAUUGUUGGAAAUUUGAUGGAUUUUAAUAUUAUGUUUAAUUCUGUAGUUAUUUGAUGGAUUUUAAUAUGGACUGUAUUUAAUUUUUAUCUAGUUGGAGAUUUGGUAAUUUAUUAUUAUGUUGUUUUAUGGAUUUUAAUGAAAACUGAACUAAAUUGUAUUUA